rnacentral:rRNA from 1 species
GACGAACGCUGGCGGCGUGCUUAACACAUGCAAGUCGAACGGAAAGGCCCUGCUUUUGUGGGGUGCUCGAGUGGCGAACGGGUGAGUAACACGUGAGUAACCUGCCCUUGACUUUGGGAUAACUUCAGGAAACUGGGGCUAAUACCGGAUAGGAGCUCCUGCUGCAUGGUGGGGGUUGGAAAGUUUGGGCGGUUGGGGAUGGACUCGCGGCUUAUCAGCUUGUUGGUGGGGUAGUGGCUUACCAAGGCUUUGACGGGUAGCCGGCCUGAGAGGGUGACCGGCCACAUUGGGACUGAGAUACGGCCCAGACUCCUACGGGAGGCAGCAGUGGGGAAUAUUGCACAAUGGGCGGAAGCCUGAUGCAGCAACGCCGCGUGCGGGAUGACGGCCUUCGGGUUGUAAACCGCUUUCGCCUGUGACGAAGCGUAAGUGACGGUAAUGGGUAAAGAAGCACCGGCUAACUACGUG